AUGAAGGGUGGUGUCGUCGUGCUUCUGGGCCUUGUGGUCGUCGGCGCUGUCGCCACCGACGCCAGGGCGGCCGGGCUGCCGGUGGUGCCGGCGAUGUUUGUGCUGGGGGCCUCGACGCUGGACGUGGGCAACAACAACCACCUACCGGGGAAGGACGUGCCCAGGGCCGACCACCCCUUCUACGGCAUCGACUUCCCCGGCGGUGCCCGGGCAACCGGGAGGUUCAGCAACGGCUACAACAUCGCCGACUUCGUCGCGAGGCAGCUAGGGUUCGAGAGGAGCCCUCUUGCCUAUCUUGAGCUGAAAUCACGCAACUACCUCAUCCCCAGCGCUCUCAAGAGAGGAGUGAACUACGCUUCCGCCGGUGCUGGGAUCCUCGACUCCACUAACGUAGGAAAGAACAUCCCAUUGUCGAAGCAGGUGCGCUACUUCGCGUCCACCAAGGCUGAGAUGGAGACUGCAUGGGGCAGACAGGAGGUCUCCAAGCUACUUGCUAGCUCCUUCUUCCUCCUCAGCAUCGGCAACAAUGACCUCCUACAGUCGACACCAAAGUCUCAUGCUGAUGUCGUCGCACUCUACACCACCCUCGUCUCGAACUACUCAGCCGCCAUUACGGACCUCUACGGGAUGGGUGCGAGAAAGUUCGGGAUCAUCAACGCUGGUCCGGUGGGUUGUUUUCCGCGGGUGCGCUUGCUGAGUGCGACAGGGGCAUGCCACGAUGGCCUGAACCGCCUCGCUUUAGGGCUUGCCGCCACAUUCAAGUCAGGUCUCGCCACCGCCCUCACCCCGAACAGGCUGCCCAGCCUCAAGUACUCCCUCGCCGACUCCUUCGCUAGCUCAUGGGCCAUCUUCGACAACCCCCAAGAGAGCGGGUUUCAGAACGGUGAUAGCGCAUGUUGCGGCAGUGGUAGGCUGGGCGCAGAGGGUGACUGCAACAGAAACGCGACAUUGUGCAGCGACCGCGAUGCCUAUGCUUUCUGGGACUACGUGCACCCCAGCCAGCGGGCCGCCGAGUUGGGUGCCCAGGCACUCUUCGACGAUGGCCCGACCCAAAUCACCGCACCCAUCAGUUUCAAGCAGCUGGCCUACGAGAAAUGA
rnacentral:rRNA from 1 species